CAUGUCUCAUAUGCAAUGAGCUCCUCCAUCAUCACAUAAUCACCUGUGGACUAAUCUCCUGUGUAUCUCAUAUAAACACUAUUAGUCCACUAAAUUGUCACUCAAUUACCAAAACCAAAUAAGGACCUUUCACGCGCCCCGCCCUAUCCGGCCAGCAGUGCCCUCCAUGGCCACCGUGCCGAUGCACCUUUCUUCCCAACGCGAGCUCUCCCUCCCUCCCUUCUCCGGUGCUGAGGUCACCCCUUCCUAACGCGAGCUCUCCCUCCCUCCCUCCCUCCGGCGCUGAGAUCACGCUGUUCCCUGGAUGGGCCACGUCGGCGUGGGUCAGGCAGUGCACAAGCUCAGCCGCUGCCUGAUGGGGUGGCUGCCCUUCUUCUCCCUCGGCCAGAUCGACGAUGGAGUGGCUGCUCUUCUUCUCCCCUGACCGGAUCUACAACAGAAUGGCAAGCUGACGACGUGCCGCGCUCUUCGCCCACUCCCAGGGGCUACGCAGGGAGCACAUAGACUAUGAGGGCUACUCUUUGCUACUGGAUCCAUCAUCGAGUUGUUUGAGGUCCCAUGAUUCAUGGAUCUAGAGGAAGACAAAACCAACGCCAUGGCUUUUGAUUUCAUCUCCCAUCUGGAUUCCAUGCCUCUGCCUUCCAAUCCUUCUGGUUUUUUGAUUAGUCAAUGUUGCCAUGGAUUGUGCUGAGUCUUGUCAAUUUAUUUCAUUUUUCAUUCUAAAUUUCUAGUUGAUUCUCCUGUUGGGCUACUACUAUUACCAGAGCUGAAAGCACAUUUAGGACACAUGAACAAAUAGAACAGUUGUAAGAAAAAGUACAGUUUGACAGAGUAAGUUUCUCCUUUAAACACAGUUUGAAUGUGAUACUAAGUACAUGAUGGAAAUAUCAGAUUUCUAACCUUAAGCUCUUUGUUCUUUCAGGGUUACAGAUUCCUUUAAACAUUGUUUUAUUAAAAUAAAUUUUAGAGGAAUGGUUUGCUUCAGUUAACAUACAAUUCACAUCUUUGAUUCCUUUAAACAUUGUAUCCCUUUUUUGUGGAUAUUAAAUUAUGGAAUGGUAAGAUGUGCUCAACUAACUACUAGGUAUAAUAUUAAAUUAUUUUUGUAGUCAACAGUCAAUAGGCAACACAUAGAGCACACUAGUCUGUGAUUGUAGUCAACAAAGAUGGUACUGGUGAACCCAGCCAGGCACACUGGGAUUCUAGGAAUUUGCCAAUAUGAGAUGAUCCAAAUGAUUUAAGCUACUGAUUCUAUCAUUUUUUCUGAAAUUUUUGGAUGCUGCUACCAGCCUGUGAACAGCAAGCCAAUCAUAGUACUAAUGAUUGUGCAACCAACUGAUUCAUUGGUCAUGACCUGAUGGCUAUAUGGUUGAGGAUUUGGAGCUCCUUUUAUGGAAGUAGAAGGAAUGCUAGCAGUUUGUACUUCUAAUGUUUUUCAGUGCCUUUGAGGCUGACCUUGCAGAUGCCAUUCCUGUGGUCAAGACAUCUAUUGGUGGCACCAGAAUAAUAGGUCGACUCUGUGUUGGUGUAAGUUAUUUUCCAGCUAGUUUUGUUGGUUCAUCAUAUUGGUAGGAUGGAUCUAGCUACAGUAGUGGAAUUCUGAAUUUUAUUUGUAAAGGGUGUGUUUCCUGAACUACAUAUGAAUGAACAAUCUUAAAAGUUUAUUUUC